rnacentral:rRNA from 1 species
AAAGCUGACCGAAGAUGGUGAUAGUCCAGUAUAGGUAGAAAGCAAUUAAGUUCUUGAGUAGGGCGGAGCACGAGAAAUUCUGUCUGAAAAUGGGGAGACCACUCUCCAAGGCUAAGUACUACUGAGUGACCGAUAGUGAACAAGUACCGUGAGGGAAAGGUGAAAAGCACCCCUAUAAGGGGAGUGAAAAAGAACCUGAAACCGGAUGCCUACAAGCAGUCGGAGGAGCAUUAGGCUCUGACGGCGUACCUUUUGUAUAAUGGGUCAGCGACUUAAUUUAUGUAGCAAGCUUAAGCCGAUAGGUGUAGGCGCAGCGAAAGCGAGUGUUAAUAGCGCGUUAAGUUACAUGGAUUAGACCCGAAACCGAGUGAUCUAGCCAUGAUCAGGUUGAAGGUUGGGUAACACCAACUGGAGGACCGAACCCACUCCCGUUGAAAAGGUAGGGGAUGAAUUGUGGCUAGGGGUGAAAGGCCAAUCAAACUCGGAAAUAGCUGGUUCUCCGCGAAAACUAUUUAGGUAGUGCGGCAAGCGGACACGUUGAGGGGUAGAGCACUGAAAGAGCUAAGGGGGAGCGAUCCUUACUAAACUUUAUCAAACUCCGAAUACUCAACAGUGAUACUUGCCAGACAGACUGUAGGUGCUAAGGUCUACGGUCGAGAGGGAAAGAGCCCAGACCGCCAAUUAAGGUCCCAAAAUUAUGGCUAAGUGGUAAAGGAAGUGAAUUGUCCAAAACAGUCAGGAGGUUGGCUUAGAAGCAGCCAUCCUUUAAAGAAAGCGUAAUAGCUCACUGAUCUAAACAAGACGAUUUGCGCCGAAGAUGUAACGGGGCUAAAGCCAUAUACCGAAGUUGCGGAAUUGCACGUAAGUGCAAUUGGUAGCGGAGCGUUCUGUAAGCCUGCGAAGGUGUUCCGUAAGGAAUGCUGGAGGUAUCAGAAGUGAGAAUGCUGACAUGAGUAGCGAAAAGAAGUGUGAGAGACACUUCCGCUGAAAGUCCAAGGUUUCCUGCGUAAAGCUAAUCUGCGCAGGGUUAGUCGGCCCCUAAGGCGAGGCAGAGAUGCGUAGUCGAUGGGAAUCAGGUUAAUAUUCCUGAACCAACUAGGAAGUGACGGAUUCAGUAAAUUGUAUGUCCUUAUUGGAUUGGAUGUGCAGUGAAUGAGUCCCGGGAAAUAGCCCUAGUAUAGACCGUACCCGAAACCGACACAGGUGGACAGGUAGAGAAUACCAAAGCGCUUGAGAGAACUAUGUUGAAGGAACUAGGCAAAAUACUUGCGUAACUUCGGGAUAAGCAAGCCCCAUUUCUGGGCAACCAGAGGUGGGGGGCACAUACUAGGGGGUAGCGACUGUUUACUAAAAACACAGGGCUCUGCUAAAUUGAAAGAUGAAGUAUAGGGUCUGACGCCUGCCCGGUGCUGGAAGGUUAAGGAGAGAUGUGCAAGCAUUGAACUGAAGCCCCAGUAAACGGCGGCCGUAACUAUAACGGUCCUAAGGUAGCGAAAUUCCUUGUCGGGUAAGUUCCGACCUGCACGAAUGGCGUAACGACUUCCCCGCUGUCUCCAACAUAGACUCAGCGAAAUUGAAUUCUGAGUUAAGAUGCUCAGUACCCGCGGUUAGACGGGAAGACCCCGUGAACCUUUACUAUAGCUUUGCAGUGGUAUUAGGUGACAAAUGUGUAGGAUAGGUGGGAUGCUAUGAAGUUAUGACGCUAGUUGUAAUGGAGCAGACGUUGAAAUACCACCCUUUUGUUAUUUGAUAUCUAACCUGCUUCCGUUAUCCGGAAGAGGGACCCUGCAUGGUGGGUAGUUUGACUGGGGCGGUCGCCUCCCAAAGAGUAACGGAGGCGCGCAAAGGUUGGCUCAGAUUGGUCGGAAAUCAAUCGUUGAGUGCAAUGGCAUAAGCCAGCCUGACUGCGAGAGCGACAGUUCGAGCAGAGACGAAAGUCGGUCAUAGUGAUCCGGUGGUCCCGAGUGGAAGGGCCAUCGCUCAACGGAUAAAAGGUACUCCGGGGA